rnacentral:rRNA from 1 species
UGGGGAAUAUUGGACAAUGGGCGAAAGCCUGAUCCAGCCAUGCCGCGUGUGUGAAGAAGGGCUUCGGAUUGUAAAGCACUUUAAGUUGGGAGGAAGGGCAUUAACCUAAUACGUUAGUGUUUUGACGUUACCGACAGAAUAAGCACCGGCUAACUCUGUGCCAGCAGCGGCGGUAAUACAGAGGGUGCAAGCGAUAAGCGGAAUUACUGGGCGUAAAGCGCGCGUAGGUGGUUUGUUAAGUUGGAUGUGAAAUCCCCGGGCUCAACCUGGGAACUGCAUUCAAAACUGACUGACUAGAGUAUGGUAGAGGGUGGUGGAAUUUCCUGUGUAGCGGUGAAAUGCGUAGAUAUAGGAAGGAACACCAGUGGCGAAGGCGACCACCUGGACUAAUACUGACACUGAGGUGCGAAAGCGUGGGGAGCAAACA